UACAGAGGGGGCAAGCGUUGUUCGGAAUUACUGGGCGUAAAGGCCGCGUAGGCGGCCGCCUAAGUCAGACGUGAAAUCCCUCGGCUCAACCGGGGAACUGCGUCUGAGACUGGGAGGCUUGAAUCCGGGAGAGGAAUGCGGAAUUCCAGGUGUAGCGGUGAAAUGCGUAGAUAUCUGGAGGAACACCGGUGGCGAAGGCGGCAUUCUGGACCGGCAUUGACGCUGAGGCGCGAAAGCCAGGGGAGCAAACGGG
rnacentral:rRNA from 1 species